rnacentral:rRNA from 1 species
GACGAACGCUGGCGGCGUGCUUAACACAUGCAAGUCGAACGGAAAGACCCUGCUUUUGUGGGGUUCUCGAUUGCCGAACGCGUGAGUGACACGUGUGUAACCUGCCCUUGUCUUUCGGAUAACUUCAGGAAACUGGGGCUAAUAUAGGAUAGGAUCUCCUGCUGCAUGGUGGGCGUUGGAAAUUUGCGGCGGUUGGGGAUGUACUCGCGGCUUAUCAGCUUGUUGGUGGAGUAGUUGUAUACCAAGGCUUUGACGGGUAGCCGGCCUGAGAGCGUGGCCGGGCACAUGGGGACUGAGAUACGGACCAGAAGGGAACGGGAGGCAGCGGUGGGAAAUAUUGCACAACGAGCGGGCGCGUGAUGCGGAAACGUUGGGUGCGGGAUGACGGGUUUCGGGUUAUGAACAGCUGUGGCCUGUGACGAAGCGGGAGUGACGGUAAUGGAUAAAGAAGCACCGGCUAACUACGUG